GAUGAACGCUGGCGGCGUGCCUAAUACAUGCAAGUCGAGCGAACGCACGAUAAGCGCGCUCUUCUGCUGUUAGCGGCGGACGGGCGAGUAACACGUGGAUAACCUACUUAUAUGUCUGGGAUAACUUCGGGAAACAGCUUCUACUACUGCAUAAUAUUAUGAACGGCAUGGUUCAAAAGUGAAUGACGGUCUUGCCGUCACUAAUAGAUGGUUCCGCGUUGGAUUAGCUAGUUGGUAAGGUAACGGCUUACCAAGGCAACGAUGCGUAGCUGACCUGAGAGGGUGAUCAGCCACACUGGAACUGAGACACGGUCCAGACUCCUACGGGAGGCAGCAGUGGGGAAUCUUGGGCAAUGGGCGAAAGCCUGAUGGAGCAAUACCGCGUGAGUGAAGAAGGUCUUCGGGUCGUAAAGCUCUGUUGUUGGGGAAGAACAGAAGUAGGAGAAACUGUGGACGUCUUGACGGUACCUAAAGAAUAAGCAACGGCUAACUUCGUG
rnacentral:rRNA from 1 species